rnacentral:rRNA from 1 species
GGACGAACGCUGGCGGCGUGCUUAACACAUGCAAGUCGAGCGGGUAAGGCCCUUUCGGGGGUACACGAGCGGCGAACGGGUGAGUAACACGUGGGUGACCUGCCCUUAGCUCUGGGAUAAGCCUGGGAAACUGGGUCUAAUACCGGAUAUGACUCCAUGACGCAUGUUGUGGGGUGGAAAGCCUUGUGCGGCUAGGGGAUGGGCCCGCGGCCUAUCAGCUUGUUGGUGGGGUGAUGGCCUACCAAGGCGACGACGGUAGCCGGCCUGAGAGGGCGACCGGCCACACUGGGACUGAGACACGGCCCAGACUCCUACGGGAGGCAGCAGUGGGAAUCUUGCGCAAUGGCGAAAGCCUGACGCAGCGACGCCGCGUGA